ACACAAACUCCAGAUGUCUGACUCCCUGAACCUGACCGUCCUAAUUAGCAGAGCCCUAAUCUUUCCUUGACCAUCUCCUGUUCAGAAGUGGAGAAGUUAUCCAUCAACAGUCCCUGCCUGGAAAGAGCUUGGCUUCUGCCCUCCACAUGGCAUGCGGAUUUCCUUUUAUCUAAGAGAAAACCUAGAGUCCACCAGGAAGGCUGAGUGCCGCACAGAGGCCAGACAGAGCAGCCAUCAUUACUCCCUCCCUGCCGCCUCCUGCCUGUCUUCUAUGCCUAGCUAGCUGUUUCCUAAGGAUCAGAAGAGGAGUUUCUCCCUUGUCUUUCUGUCACCAUCAUGGGUAUCACCGACCCAACUCUGGACAACAUGCUGCAUCCAUGAACUGUUCACAGAACUCUGGAAAAACCUUCUUUCAUUAAGCAAACAUCUUAAUAAAACGACCUGCCCUCUCCUGCUGUGCAUGUGCAUUGCACACACAGUGGUAAGGCUAAUUGUGCUUAUCCUGACAUGAAUGUCCACAGAGGACUCUGGGCACAAUUCUACCACACUAGCAGCAGAUGUGAGUCACUGGAAUAAGUUCUUCAUCAGUAAAGGUGCUGAAAUGUGGAGUCCAAGAGAGCCCCGGCUCUGCACAGAGAAGACAUCUGGGAGAUGCUAAUUGAAGACUGAAGAAAAAUGAGAGCAAUUCCAUGGUCUCUGAUCUAAAUUAUACAUUCACCCUCUCCUGGCUCUUUGAGACACAUAAUAGAUGAAUAAAAAGAGCAAAACUUUGGA
rnacentral:lncRNA from 1 species